UACAGAGGUCCCGAGCGUUGUUCGGAUUCACUGGGCGUAAAGGGUGCGUAGGUGGCGAGGAAAGUCGGAUGUGAAAUCUCGGAGCUCAACUCCGAAAUGGCAUUGGAAACUACCUGGCUGGAGGUUUGGAGGGGGGACUGGAAUACUUGGUGUAGCAGUGAAAUGCGUAGAUAUCAAGUGGAACACCAGUGGCGAAGGCGAGUCCCUGGACAAAACCUGACACUGAGGCACGAAAGCUAGGGGAGCAAACAGG
rnacentral:rRNA from 1 species